GACGAACGCUGGCGGCGUGCUUAACACAUGCAAGUCGAGCGGUAAGGCCCUUUCGGGGGUACACGAGCGGCGAACGGGUGAGUAACACGUGGGUGACCUGCCCUCAGCUCUGGGAUAAGCCUGGGAAACCGGGUCUAAUACCGGAUAUGACUCCAUGACGCAUGUUGUGGGGUGGAAAGCCUUGUGCGGCUGAGGAUGGGCCCGCGGCCUAUCAGCUUGUUGGGUGGGGNGAUGGCCUACCAAGGCGACGACGGGUAGCCGGCCUGAGAGGGCGACCGGCCACACUGGGACUGAGACACGGCCCAGACUCCUACGGGAGGCAGCAGGUGGGGAAUCUUGCGCAAUGGGCGAAAGCCUGACGCAGCGACGCCGCGUGAGGGAUGACGGCCUGGUU
rnacentral:rRNA from 1 species